UAAGGGCGCACGGUGGAUGCCUUGGCACUAGAAGCCGAUGAAGGACGUUACUAACGACGAUAUGCUUUGGGGAGCUGUAAGUAAGCUUUGAUCCAGAGAUUUCCGAAUGGGGAAACCCAGCAUGAGUUAUGUCAUGUUAUCGAUAUGUGAAUACAUAGCAUAUCAGAAGGCACACCCGGAGAACUGAAACAUCUUAGUACCCGGAGGAAGAGAAAGAAAAUUCGAUUCCCUUAGUAGCGGCGAGCGAAACGGGAAGAGCCCAAACCAACAAGCUUGCUUGUUGGGGUUGUAGGACACUCUAUACGGAGUUACAAAGGACGACAUUAGACGAAUCAUCUGGAAAGAUGAAUCAAAGAAGGUAAUAAUCCUGUAGUCGAAAAUGUUGUCUCUCUUGAGUGGAUCCUGAGUACGACGGAGCACGUGAAAUUCCGUCGGAAUCUGGGAGGACCAUCUCCUAAGGCUAAAUACUCUCUAGUGACCGAUAGUGAACCAGUACCGUGAGGGAAAGGUGAAAAGCACCCCGGAAGGGGAGUGAAAUAGAACCUGAAACCGUGUGCUUACAAGUAGUCAGAGCCCGUUAAUGGGUGAUGGCGUGCCUUUUGUAGAAUGAACCGGCGAGUUACGAUUUGAUGCAAGGUUAAGCAGUAAAUGUGGAGCCGUAGCGAAAGCGAGUCUGAAUAGGGCGUUUAGUAUUUGGUCGUAGACCCGAAACCAGGUGAUCUACCCUUGGUCAGGUUGAAGUUCAGGUAACACUGAAUGGAGGACCGAACCGACUUACGUUGAAAAGUGAGCGGAUGAACUGAGGGUAGCGGAGAAAUUCCAAUCGAACCUGGAGAUAGCUGGUUCUCUCCGAAAUAGCUUUAGGGCUAGCCUCAAGUGAUGAUUAUUGGAGGUAGAGCACUGUUUGGACGAGGGGCCCCUCUCGGGUUACCGAAUUCAGACAAACUCCGAAUGCCAAUUAAUUU
rnacentral:rRNA from 1 species